rnacentral:lncRNA from 1 species
CCAAGGAAUAAAUAAUCAAUAGGCUCAAAGUGGGCAACUAAGGAUGAUUUCAAAACAAUAAAAUUUAAAGGCCAAAAGAAAUACCUACAAAAUGCCCCAACAUUUUUCACAUGAUGCAGAUCAAUUUUCGCUUUGACACGGUCACAAGACAAGUUCUAGAAUGUGACAAAAUAGGAAACACACUCACACAAAACAAAGGGGGCUGCAUUUAUAAUUCAAGAUAAAUCCCCUUGUAAAGGCUCAAAUCUCACAUAUAGAAGUUGGUUCACAAAAAGAUAGUCAAGACGACACAUUAUGCUAAUUAUUAGCUACCUAAAGACAACCCCAUUAUAUCAAUUGAACAAGUCUGUCAAAAAAUUUCAAAGGUCCUCAAAGGCAUGAUCUCUAUUUUUCAAAUGUUCAGCAUAAUUUCAAUCAAAACAAGCCAGAAAAAUGCAAUCAACUAGAACCAGCAAAUGUCAAGUGCCAAAAUAUAGAUCCUCCCUCACACUAGUUCAAAGUAUAGUCCUUAAUGCAAAUUAUUCAACUAGGCAAAAAACUAAAUAAGUGAGAGAGUAAAAGUGACUUCCCUGAGAGAUCUUGUAGACCUUGCAAAUCAAGGAUGACUUUCCUAACAACAAAAACAAACAAGCAUACCAACGUAAUAAGGUUUA